rnacentral:rRNA from 1 species
CAGUCGCCGCGGGAAUACGAAGGGGGCUAGCGUUGUUCGGAAUCACUGGGCGUAAAGCGCACGUAGGCGGACACUUAAGUCAGAGGUGAAAUCCCAAGGCUCAACCUUGGAACUGCCUUUGAUACUGGGUGUCUUGAGUUCGGGAGAGGUGAGUGGAACUGCGAGUGUAGAGGUGAAAUUCGUAGAUAUUGGGAAGAACACCGGUGGCGAAGGCGGCGACCUGGUCCUUUACUGACGCUGAGGCGCGAAAGCGUGGGGAGCAAACAGGAUUAGAUACCCCUGUAGUCCCUGUCUCUUAUAC